GAAUUUAGUUUAGUUUUAAUUUCCCUUUUAAUUGCUUAAAUCAACUACAUCAGUUGGCAAACACUUGUCGGGCUAUGUAAACUCCCUGCAUCUGCAAAGGGAGUGGAUCUGCUAUCCCUUCCCCCAUCACUACCACCACCAUCAUCACCGCCGGACCAGUGAACACCAGGCUCGGCACAUCAUUUCACCGUUAUGGCAAAUGAAUUCUCAGAAAACAGAGACGGAACUGCCAACUCACGCCAUGCCAACCUCACGUCGUCACUAGACCUGAGCACGUCUCUGGAUCACAGCGUGCAGACGCGGAUUUUUAAAAUCAUUGUCAUCGGGGACUCAAAUGUGGGAAAGACCUGUUUAACCUUCCGCUUCACCGGCGGAGCCUUCCCGUGCAAAACUGAAGCCACCAUCGGCGUGGAUUUCAGGGAGAAAGCGGUGGAGAUCGAGGGCGAGAAAAUAAAGGUACAAGUAUGGGACACAGCAGGCCAGGAGCGCUUUCGAAAGAGCAUGGUUGAGCACUACUACCGCAAUGUGCAUGCCGUUGUUUUUGUGUACGACGUCACUAAGAUGGCCUCAUUCCAAAACCUAAAAACCUGGAUUCAGGAGUGCAACGGUCACGGGGUGUCAUCGGCAGUGCCUCGUGUUUUGGUGGGCAACAAAUGUGAUCUAGUUGACCAGAUCCAGGUGCCUUCCAACACUGCCCUCAAGUUUGCCGAUGCCUAUAACAUGCUACUGUUUGAAACAUCAGCCAAAGAUCCCAAGGAGAGCCAGAACGUGGACUCCAUUUUCAUGUGCCUGGCAUGUCGUCUAAAAGCCCAAAAGUCCCUGAUUUACAGAGAUGUGGAGAGAGAAGAUGGCAGAGUAAGGCUGACGCAUCAACCAGACCCCAAGAGUAACUGCCCGUGCUGAGGACCUUAAACUGUGAAAUUACUAACAUUGAUAAUUUACAAUGCAAGAAUGUGCCUGCGACUAAUUUUAGUUACUCAAUGACAGCUGCUCCAUGAACUUUCUCAGUUUUUCUGUCCUAUUGGGAUACAAUAUCUCUUCUACCAGGGAGUCCUGAUCAAGCUACUGUAGGCACCAUGACACAGUUGAAGAAAUACAGGAUAUCACAUAUAACUCGCAAACACACAAAACAAGGUUCUUAAAAUAGUAUAAA